GUUUGACACGGACCGACGGUGGCCAGUCUGGCCCCGACGUUCGGCAGAGGCGCAAUGAC
rfam:Variovorax sp. PAMC 28711, complete genome.